UGUUGGCUUAUAAACCCUAACUUUUUUUUUCCCUGUGCCUGGACCCCAUGGGGCGUGCCUUUCUGCGCCUCGCGCCUCAGUGAAGUGCCAUGCCUCUCCUUCCAUCAGGCAACAUCACCUGCGCCUGAGGCGCGCCUUUGAUAACAGUGGAUGCAAUGCUAAAAAAGAUGAUGCAUGAUAAUAUGCCACUUGCUUAAUGACAAGACUACUAUGCACUUGCCUGAAAAUAGGGAAGCAAUGC
rnacentral:misc_RNA from 1 species